CAGCCACAGCGGCACCCACUCCUGGGCUUCAAUGUCAGGGAUGCUUUCCUGAAGAGCUUCUUGGAAACUUGCCUCAGAAAGCAGCUCUAAAACAGCAACCCCCAACAAGUUAGAUCUGCAGACAAAAGCUCUUUACUAUCCAUGUCCCAGCUUACCAGAUCACCAACAGUUAACAACUGAUCCCUUACAAUGCAAGAUACACAACCAGCAAAAUCAACAUCAACACAAAUCUGAGAACCUCUAAGACCUGAAACAUCUAUAGUUCCAAGAAGUCAAUUUGUUGGAAUUUCUUAAAAUUCAGCAGGCAUAAAAUGUAGCCUCCCAGGCUUUACAAUUUGA